GACGAACGCUGGCGGCGUGCUUAACACAUGCAAGUCGAGCGGUAAGGCCCUUUCGGGGGUACACGAGCGGCGAACGGGUGAGUAACACGUGGGUGACCUGCCUUUAGCUCUGGGAUAAGCCUGGGAAACCGGGUCUAAUACCGGAUAUGACUCCGCGGCGCAUGUUGUGGGGUGGAAAGCCUUGUGCGGCUGAGGAUGGGCCCGCGGCCUAUCAGCUUGUUGGUGGGGUGAUGGCCACCAAGGCGACGACGGGUAGCCGGCCUGAGAGGGCGACCGGCCACACUGGGACUGAGACACGGCCCAGACUCCUACGGGAGGCAGCAGUGGGGAAUCUUGCGCAAUGGGCGAAAGCCUGACGCAGCGACGCCGCGUGAGGGAUGACGGCCUC
rnacentral:rRNA from 1 species